AUUGAACGCUGGCGGCGUGCCUAACACAUGCAAGUCGAGUGGUAACAGGUGUAGCAAUACAUGCUGACGAGCGGCGAACGGGUGAGUAAUGCUUUGGAAUCUUCCCAGUAGUGGGGAAUAACCAGUCGAAAGAUUGGCUAAUACCGCAUACGUCUGUAAAGGGAAAGCGGGGGCUCGUAAGACCUCGCGCUAUUGGAUGAGCCAAAGUCGGAUUAGCUAGUUGGUGGGGUAAUGGCCUACCAAGGCGACAAUCCGUAGCUGGUCUGAGAGGACGACCAGCCACACCGGAACUGAGACACGGUCCGGACUCCUACGGGAGGCAGCAGUGGGGAAUAUUGGACAAUGGGGGAAACCCUGAUCCAGCGACGCCGCGUGUGUGAAGAAGGCCUGCGGGUUGUAAAGCACUUUUAGUGGGGACAAAAAGCUACGGAUUAAUACUCUGUGGUCUUGAUUUAACCCAAAGAAAAAGCACCGGCUAACUCUGUGCCAGCAGCCGCGGUAAUACAGAGGGUGCGAGCGUUAAUCGGAAUUACUGGGCGUAAAGCGCGCGUAGACGGUUUUGUAAGUCAGAUGUGAAAUCCCUGGGCUCAACCUGGGAACUGCAUUUGAAACUGCAUGGCUAGAGUAUCGAAGAGGGAAGUGGAAUUUCCGGUGUAGCGGUGAAAUGCGUAGAUAUCGGAAGGAACACCAGUGGCGAAAGCGACUUCCUGGUCGAAUACUGACGUUCAUGUGCGAAAGCGUGGGGAGCAAACAGGAUUAGAUACCCUGGUAGUCCACGCCAUAAACGAUGACAACUAGAUGUUGGGAGGGUCUGCCUCUCGGUGUCGCAGCUAACGCGUUAAGUUGUCCGCCUGGGGAGUACGGCCGCAAGGUUG
rnacentral:rRNA from 1 species